AUUGAACGCUGGCGGCAUGCUUUACACAUGCAAGUCGAACGGUAACAGGCCGCAAGGUGCUGACGAGUGGCGAACGGGUGAGUAAUGCAUCGGAACGUGCCCAGUCGUGGGGGAUAACGCAGCGAAAGCUGUGCUAAUACCGCAUACGAUCUAUGGAUGAAAGCGGGGGACCGUAAGGCCUCGCGCGAUUGGAGCGGCCGAUGUCAGAUGAGGUAGUUGGUGGGGUAAAGGCCUACCAAGCCGACGAUCUGUAGCUGGUCUGAGAGGACGACCAGCCACACUGGGACUGAGACACGGCCCAGACUCCUACGGGAGGCAGCAGUGGGGAAUUUUGGACAAUGGGGGCAACCCUGAUCCAGCAAUGCCGCGUGCAGGAAGAAGGCCUUCGGGUUGUAAACUGCUUUUGUACGGAACGAAACGGUCUGGGUUAAUACCCUGGGCUAAUGACGGUACCGUAAGAAUAAGCACCGGCUAACUACGUGCCAGCCGCCGCCGUAAGAC
rnacentral:rRNA from 1 species